rnacentral:rRNA from 2 species
GCUGGCGGCGUGCCUAAUACAUGCAAGUCGAGCGAACAGAUAAGGAGCUUGCUCCUUUGACGUUAGCGGCGGACGGGUGAGUAACACGUGGGUAACCUACCUAUAAGACUGGGAUAACUUCGGGAAACCGGAGCUAAUACCGGAUAACAUUUGGAACCGCAUGGUUCUAAAGUGAAAGAUGGUUUUGCUAUCACUUAUAGAUGGACCCGCGCCGUAUUAGCUAGUUGGUAAGGUAACGGCUUACCAAGGCGACGAUACGUAGCCGACCUGAGAGGGUGAUCGGCCACACUGGAACUGAGACACGGUCCAGACUCCUACGGGAGGCAGCAGUAGGGAAUCUUCCGCAAUGGGC